rnacentral:rRNA from 1 species
GACGAACGCUGGCGGCGUGCUUAACACAUGCAAGUCGAACGAAGUGGCGAACGGGUGAGUAACGCGUAAUCAACCUGCCCUUCAGAGGGGGACAACAGUUGGAAACGACUGCUAAUACCGCAUACUGAAGGAGGGGAUUGGGUCUGAUUAGCUAGUUGGAGGGGUAACGGCCCACCAAGGCGAUGAUCAGUAGACGUGCUGAGAGGAUGAACGGCCACAUUGGGACUGAGAAACGGCCCAGACUCCUACGGGAGGCAGCAGUGGGGAAUCUUCGGCAAUGGACGAAAGUCUGACGGAGCAACGCCGCGUGAGUGAUGACGGCCUUCGGGUUGUAAAGCUCUGUUAUUCGGGACGCGGUACCGAAAUAAAACGCCCGGCUAACUACGUGCCAGCAGCCGCGGUAAUAC